rnacentral:tRNA from 1 species
GGAAGAGUCGCAUAGAGGCCCAGUGCACGAGUUUGCUAAACUCGGCCCCUUAAUUGGGGCUCGUGGGUUCGAAUCCCACCUCUUCCGCCA